UCCCUUUAUCACAUGAGAAAAAAUUGUCUUUAAAAUCUGGAUGUGGAAAUGUAUCAGUGGGACAAGGUAGGUGGAUGUCCAGACAAGAUAACAAUUUCAGAAUUUCUUUCUGCAUUUCUAUUCUCAUUCUAGGCACACCUGGCAUGGCAUCAUGGGGGAAUCUUUUGAGAAGGUACCAUGUAGAAAUGGUUGUCCUUUCUAGGCACCUCCACCAUUGCUGCUUCUUCAGCAGGUCCCAGCACACAGACUCUGAUCCCCAGGAACCUUGGUGGCAAUAGAUCCUGCUAUGUUGGCACUACUAUCAGUAAAGGGUUAAGACAUUUUUUGGUUAAGUGGCCUUUUAUUUUUUGUACAUGUUUCAGCUUCUGUUCGAUAUUGUUUGUGUAUCAUGCCUAAGUACCUGGCAAUUGUUAAAUCCCUUAUGCAUCAAGGAGUUCCUGUCUAGGUAAAGAAGACUGAUCACAGUGCCUCAGCAUUUUUCUGCUGAUCACUGCUUAUUCUGCUAUAUUCUGUCCUCAAAUUACUUUUUGACACACAGGAAUAGUGUGAACCAGAUAUCUAACGUUUGUAUUUUCUAAAUAAUUCAUGGCAUCUUCAUGUUUGUCCCACUGCCAAUGACAAUGACAUGAUAGCUUUCUUUCCUGAUUUUUCCAUGCUAUAAAUAUUUCUUUAGUAGGAUUCACUGUGAUGCUAAUUGUUUGAGAUCCAGAAAUCCUUCAAGAACCAGAUAAAGUAGAAACCUAGUUCAAUUCAUCAUUAAUCCUAAAUGCUGCCAACAUUAAAAAUAAGAUUUCUGGUAGUUUCUGCUCAUCUAAAUAUCUGCUUAUGAGAACAAAGGAAACACAUUUAAUAACAUCACUAACUUUUUGUGAAGAGCAGAAUAUAACUCUAUUAGAGUUACCUAUUAGCUGUUAAUUUUUUAAAAAAUUAUUAGCUGUUAUAGUCAUAAUUAGUAAGGCAUUUUACUUUUAUAAUGAUAAAUUUUGUAUUUUACUUAUUUAUUUAUUUUUUGUCUUUUUGCUAUUUCUUGGGCCGCUCCCGCGGCAUAUGGAGGUUCCCAGGCUAGGGGUCCAAUCGGAGCUGUAGUCUCCGGCCUAUGCCUGAGCCACAGCAACGCGGGAUCCGAGCCGCGUCUGCAACCUACACCACAGCUCACAGCAACGCAGGAUCGUUAACCCACUGAGCAAGCGCAGGUACCAAACCCGCAACCUCAUGGUUCCUAGUCGGAUUCGUUAACCACUGCGCCACGACGGGAACUCCCAAAUUUUGUAUUUUAAUUGACUCAUACUGUACUAGCAGAUAAAACAAAGAAGGAAAAUUUUUUUCAUCUAAUGAUAUUUAGCAUGUUGACCCAUACUUGAAAGUUAAUACUGAGAUAUUAAAAUUAUGUAUAAUCUGCUCUUGGUGUCAAAACAUGGAAUGAAUCUUAUGAAAUGACAGUGUUGUCCUUUCUAAUGUUCUUACUUAGUAAAAUAAAAAUAUGGCAUCUCUACUAAAAAAUUAAUCCAAAUGUCAUGUUUUAGUCAUCUUAUUGGUGUCGUUAUGCUCAUUAGAUAUGACUGUAAACACAAUCACAGGGUCACUGAUAGUAAAAAAAUUCAGGAUAGUAAAAAAUGAUACUGACUUUUAGCUACUUGAUCUUCUAGAACUGGAGGCUAAAGCUGAUGGCAGAUACUAGAUUUAGCUUGAAUCUGAAGUUGAGUGCAUAUUUAACAUUUUUUUUCCUUCCCAAAUCCAUCUUAUUCUAGGUCUUGAUUCCCUUGGUGUCUUCAUUCCUAAGUAAUCCAUCUAAAAUCUCCACUCCUGCACAAUGUAUGUAAAGCCCCCUCAUCUGAUGUUUAAUUAUAUUAUUUCUUUGUAACAUUUUGUGGUCCAAUGUCUUGCCUGUUAUUUAAUUUUUGUGUGCAUACUUCUAUUACCCCAGCUCAAUAAUAAACUCCUUGAGGUUUAGGCAUGGACAGUAUUUUCUUUAGAUCCCUGAUGUCUGAUAGAACAUGUGCUUUGUGAGUGAAUAAAUGCAUGGACAUAAUUCAACCUUUAUAGGGCAUCCAGAGGGGAAAAGCUGUUGGGUCCAUCUUGUAGAAGGGAAAGUUCUAGUGCUAGUGAGAUUUUGCCAGACUUCCCAUGAUUUAGAGUGGAAUGAGCAAGUGGGCCUAAAGCUGAGUCCCCCAUGACAUACACAUAUCUUUAGAUCUUGUGGUGUAGGAAAUCCACAACUGUUGUAUCACAAAUACAGUUUGGUAGGUGCUGGGUCUGUGCAUAUAUAAAACUAUUUCAGAGUUCUCUCUUUUCUUCCUUUUUUUUUUUUUUUUUUUUUUUUUUUUUUUUUNUUUUUUUUGCCUUUUAGGGCUGCCCCUGCACCAUAUGGAAGUUCCCAGGCUAGGGGUUGAAUCAGAGCUACAGCUGCCAUGCCAUAGCCACAGCAACAUGGGAUCUAAGCCCCAUCAGUGACCUACACCACAGCUCACAACAAUGCCAGAUCCUUAACCCACCGAGCAAGGCAAGGGAUCAAACGCGCAUCCUCAUGGAUACUAGUCAGGUUUGUAACCUGCUGAGUGACAAAGAAAACUCUCCAGAGUUCCCUUGAGAAAGAAUAUGUAUAUGGGUUUAUAUGCCCCAAUUAAAUAUAAAUUAAAUUGACACAGCCCAGAUUUGAAUUUUAGUAGACCAGUUCCAAAGUUCCAGUUUUGAAUUGCUACACUACACUGUAUGUUCCUGAUGUGUACAAAGAUCAGAGCAAUCCUCAUCUAAUCCUUACAGUCCUAACGGCUAGAGAGAUCAGCCUAAGGUCCUAGGCAGUGCCACAGCACCCCUGCCAGGGCCCAGAUACUCAUUUUCUAAGACCACCAAAACCAGUCCUGGAGGCAGGAUGAUGAGUAACCUCUAACUGAGGUUCUGAAAGACGUUAAGUUACCCUCAGGCAUGUGAGGUGGCUCAGAGUCACCCUGCCCUAUCAGUAGUGAGGCAUCUAAUUUGCCAUCCACACUAAGACACUUUCGAGUGUGAAAGGAAACUCUGUCAUCAUUAUGCCGAAAUUAAGCAUACAAACUGAGACUAUCCCAGGCCAUCUUUAUAUAUAUGUCUGCCAAAAUCUCCCAGGAAAGGGAAGAAAAAUGUAUAUAAAUUUGGUAAAUGUGGGAAGCCAAUUAUCUGAGAAAUAAUUAAGUUGAGGGGAAAAGCAUUAUGCCUAGGAACAAAAAUCGAAUGCAGUUAAUAUUUAGAAGAGAAUUGGGCAAGAACGUACACCAGAAAGAGGCAAAAAAAAUUAUUUAGACACACAGAACAAUAUGAUAGUUUGUGUGUGAGUGAGAGUAAGUUGUGGGCAACAAAGGAAGCUGAGAAUGGCUUUUUUUUUUUUUUUUCUUUUUACAACCACACCCUCAGCAUAUGGAGGUUCCAAGGCUAGGAGUCAAAUUGGAGCUGCAGCUGCCAGCCUACACCACAACUACAGCAAUGGUGGAUCCAAGCUGCACAACCUAUGAUUCUUAACCUACUGAUCAAGGCCAGGGAUUGAACCCUCAUCCUCACAGACACUAUGUCAGGUUCUUAACCCACUGAGUCACAGUGGGGACUCUCUGAGAAUGGCUUUCAAACAAGCAUUUGGGAGGUGAGGCCCAGACUGAUCUAAUAUCAAGUGGGCAUAUCACUGCAGUAUCUUCUUGGGUUCAGGAUUAUCCCUAUUUUUGUCAGUUGACGUGCAGGUAUUCCUUCUCAGCUGGAUGCAUUUUCUGAAACCUCCCAUGAUGGACCAAUAAACAUAGAUAAACUUGGGAAAUUUAGGAGGCAACUAUCUGAAAGAGCUUAACCAAAUGAAUGCUGUCUAUCCUGUUAAGGUAAGAAUUGGGUGAGUAGACAAGAAGAAACCUGCGAUUCAAAUACAAGCUGAAUGUGGCUAUGCAGUUCAUUUCCAGACUAAAGUGAUAGGAAUUCUACUUCACAAAUUGGAAAGAAACUCUAAUUGCUCCAUGACUUGCCAACCCUACCUUAGGACAGCAGGAUGCAGUUCUGACUUCCACAUUUUAAAACGAGGCAAAGAAUUCACAUCCAGAAAAGCAUUACCAAAGAUUAGAGUGGUGGGAACAUUGCCUCUUAUGAAAUGCAGUGGAGACAGAUAGAAAGCUAAGGGUUGAUUUCAUGGUUUUCAAGUAUCGUAAAUUAUAUGGAUACUCAUUUGGCUUCUCCACAGAUUAUAAAGAAGAAAUGGGCUGACACUGCAGCAAGAGAGAUGUUAGUAAUGCUUAAGGAAGAACUUUUUGACCAAAUACUGGGGCAAGAAAGUGCUGAAAUGUCUGACCCUGUAAUCUUUUUAUGAUAGGAUAGGAGAUCACCAGUCCAGAGCUGUCAUUACACAUGGUAUUUGAUGUAAGAGGUUCUGAAGGGUGAGUGGAGGAAUCUGAGAGUGUGAAGGUGUCUCUUGACAGAUCUAGAAAUUCUAAAACUGUUUGAAGGGUAGAAGGAAAAGUCAAAGUCAAUUAAUAAUUAAAGCUCUAAGAUGAACUCUAUUCCUGGGUUAUGGGUGUGUUGAGAUGAUUCCUGACAUGGGUUGGGGGGGGGUUAUCCCCCACUUCUGAAAUCCAGAUGGUGACACUCUGACAUUGCCCUGUGACUUCACCAGUAUUACUGCUCUUCAUUCUACUCUAAUCCCAGAUGGUUAAGCUGGGUGGGGGCCCUGACUCCAGCUGUGAGCUAAGUAUCACGUCUCCCUUCUGACCUGGGAAGAGCAGCUUCUAUAGCUGUCCUCCCAGAAACUCCACACAGCUUCCUUUCUCCCCAGAGGCUUUCUCUACUUGGCCAGAGGCCCAAAGCAGACAUUUACUGUGUCUAGUAUGGCACCCUGCUCUUCCAUUAGGAUAGAAGGUAUACCUUUGCAUCAGGGUAGCAGCUGGCAUCAAAUCAGCUGCAGUUACCAUUCAGUUAACCAAGGUAGCAGGGUCCCUGACACCUUUGUCACCAUCAUAGAACACCACAUUGAGCUAGCUCCACAGGCAGAUUAUCUAAGCCCUCUGGCCACUAGACUUCAACCUCCCUCACUCAGAUCCUGAAACUCAGAAUCUGCAGAACCAGAACUGCACAGCUGACUUCAGGUAGUCUCCUUAGAUGGACAUGUUAUUUUCUGCUUGUUAGGCAGGCAACAUAAAUGGAGAAGAUAUCACUGAAGAACCAUGGCUUGUGAGAAGCAGAUCAGCAGAAGAGAAAGGAUGUACAAACCUACCUCUUGGGAUGUGGGUCUGUGCAUAGUCACCCUGGCAUUCACUUUGAAACCACUAGAUUGAGUAAGAAAGGAGAAAGAAGGCACCGAGCCAUCCCUUUGCUCCAUGAUGUGACUCUCAGAGGAAUUCUACUGCCUCAGUUUUAAGGCACAGUUUUUGCCUCUAUUGCAAGCUUUAGAUUUGCUGAGCUCAAUAGCUACUAUGCUCUUACAUAGGCACUGAAGAUAAAAUGAUGAACAAGACGGCCUCUCACUCUCACAGGAUAUUAUACUUAGUGAGAACAGACAGACUAUAAACAAAUAAGAAAAUAAACAAGAAACCAUCAGAUGGUGAUAGGUGAUGGUAAAUGAGAGUGACUGAUGGGGAGUUGGUGCUGAGGUGGAGGAAUAACUCAGCUUGAGAUGCUGGGGACAGGCUUACUGAAGAAGUUCAUCUGUGAUUUGAAUGGAAAAAAGAGCCAACUAGGUGAUAAUGCAGGGAAAGGGCUUCCAGCAGAGGGAACUGAAAGUGGAAAGGCCCUAAGUUUGGAAGGAGCUUAGUGUUUUGGGAAGAGACCCAUGUAGUUGGGGUAUAUGAUGAGGCUGGAAAGUUUGUAAAGGUCUAGAUCAUGGGGGAUUCUUGUGGGUCAGGGGAAGAGUGAAUUCAAAAUGGUCCUACAAUUGGAUUAGACCCUAGUUUGGGCAUUUAGUUUGCCCUUCAUACUUCAAAAAUGCAGAAACAGAGCCUGGAGAGGUGGGCUUUUGUCAUUCUACCUCUACCAGCCAACCUUGGUAAUGGUACUGCUGGAAACAAAAUUUGACCUACAGUCUUUGUCAAUUACUACUAAACUCUUCCUGAGUGCUAAGAAGGUAGGAUUCUUGAAUACUGGCACACAUUUAAGUACCUAGCCUUUAAAAUCUUCCACAAUUGUAGUGUCUUCUUGACCCAUAGAGUUCCCGUCAUGGUGCAGUGGUUAACGAAUCUGACUAGGAACCAUGAGGUUGCAGGUUCGAUCCCUGGCCUUGCUCAGUGGGCUAGGGAUCCGGUGUUGCCGUGAACUGUGGUGUAGGUCACAGAUACGGCUCAGAGCCUGCGUUGCUGCGGCUGUGGCGUAAGCCAGUGGCUACAGCUCUGAUUGGACCCCUAGCCUGGGAACCUCCAUAUGCUGCGGGAGCAGCUCAAGAAAAG
rnacentral:lncRNA from 1 species